AUUGGGUUAUUGCAUGGGAAGUCAUCCUUCUAUCAUCUGGUGCCUUCCAGGAAAUAACUGGCUUUGUAAAGAAGCUGUCCUGGUCAGGGAAAAAUGCAAGAAGAGCUGUUUCCCUGAUGAAUUUGUCCUACAAAGAUGUCUCAGCAAAGAAAAGGGUAUUGUCGUCUGGGAGUUUAAGAAAUUUGGAAAGUGAGAAACAUGGACAGAUCACAGGUAAAUUUUAUCUACCUACCUAAUCAUUCUACUUAUCUACCCUCAUACCUUUGUUGCUGUUAAUGCCAGCCGGUUGACUCCUAGCGACGCUGUGUACAGCAGAGCAGAACCCCUCAAAGUCUUUUUGUGCAACCUUCUCACCUUCAGGUGCUGUAUCAGCCAGCGCUCUGCUGCUAUUCAUAGGGUUUCCAUGGGUAAUUUUUUCCAAGUGGGUGGCCAGGUCCUUCUUCCUAAUCUGUCUUAGUUUGAAAGCUCUGUGAAACCUGUCCACCACGGGUGACCUGCUGGUAUUUGAAAUACCAGUGGCAUAACUUUCAGCAUCACGGCAACAUAGCAACACGCAGCCACCACUGUAUGACAACUGACGGAUGGGUGGUGUGGUUCCCUGACCAGGAAAUGAACCUGGGCUGUGGUGGUGAGGGCACUGAAUCUUAACCACUAGACCACCAGGGCUGGCUAUCUAUUUAUCUACAUGCAUACUUACAUAUCUGCCCAACCUGCUUAACACUCUUAAACUACUUAUCUUGCCUAAUCUGCUUUCUUACCAUAUACGUACCAGCUUACCCAUCUACCUAUCUUUUUGAAUCAUAAAGAGGACCUGUGAAUGAAACUCUUUCCUGGGGCCGGCCCAGUGGUGCAGCUGUUGGGUUCACACAUUUCACUUCAGUGGCCCGGAGUUAGCAAGUUCUGAUCCCAGGUGUGAAGCUAUGUAUUGCUUGUCAAGCCAUAUUGUGGCAGCCAUCCCACAUAUAAAGUAGAGGAAGAUGGGCACGGAUGUUAGCUCAGGGCCAGUCUUCCUCAGCAAAAAGAGGAGGAUUGGUGGCAGAUACUAGCUCGGGGCUACUCUGCCUCAAAGAAGAAAAAAAGAAAAAAAAUUCUUUCCCCAUUUUAUGAUUUUGCUUACUGUUACUUUGACCUUGAAUUGAAUGGCGUUAGGCAUGUUCAUGGACUGUUUUUGUUGUUGUUGUUGUUAUGGUUCU
rnacentral:tRNA from 1 species